rnacentral:lncRNA from 1 species
UGCUUGAGGACAUGUUUUUAUUUAACCCAUUUUAGAAUAAGGCUGUAACGUAACAAAAUGUGGAAAAGUCAAGGGUUCUGUCAUGGCUGUCAAAAGGAGAGGACCAAGGCUACCAGGCUACCAGGCUACAAGGCUACUAGGCUACAAGGCUACUAGGCUACAAGGCUACUAGGCUACCAGGCUUCAAGGCUACCAGGCUACAAGGGUACUAGGCUACCAGGCUACUAGGCUACAAGGCUACAAGGCUACUAGGCUACAAGGCAACAAGGCUACUAGGCUACCAGGCUACAAGGCUACAAGGGUACUAGGCUACCAGGCUACAAGGCUACAAGGCUACUAGGCUCAAGGGUACUAGGUUACAAGGCUACAAGGCUACUAGGUUACAAGGCAACAAGGCUACUAGGCUACAUGUCUACUAGGCUACUACUCUACUAGGCUACAAGGCUACUAAGCUACAAGGGUACUAGGCUACUAGGCUACUACUCUACUAGGCUACUAGGCUACAAGGCUACUAGGCUACAAGGGUACUAGGCUACUAGGCUACUACUCUACUAGGCUACUAGGCUACAAGGCUACUAGGCUACAAGGCUACUAGGCUACUAGGCUACUACUCUACCAGGCUACUAGGCUACCAGGCUACUAGGCUACUUUUUCCUUCUUCCAAUUAAAUACUUCAACCACUAGAAACUGUGCAUAUACAUGGUGUAAAGUUUUCCGGGAGGAAAGCACAUUCUCACGUCAAGUUCAGAUAUUACAAAUUAUAACUUUUGCAUGAAAACUGGCGCACGCACAUUUUAGGGUCUAUUUUGUAUGUGCCCACGGUUUAUAGACGAGGCCCCAGCUGAGGAAGAUAGAGGAGAUGGUGAAGCAGAAUGGAGGACACUAUUACACCAAGGAGGUGUAUCAGGAGGCUCAGAGGAAGAUCAGAGGAGGAGGAGAGGAAAGAGGAGGAGGAAGCUAGAUGACAGGAAGAGGAGAGGAAGUUAAGAGAAGAUCAAAAUAAAAUGGUAGAAAGAG